rnacentral:rRNA from 1 species
UACGUAGGUGGCGAGCGUUAUCCGGAUUUACUGGGUGUAAAGGGCGAGUAGGCGGGAUUGCAAGUCAGAUGUGAAAACUAUGGGCUCAACCCAUAGACUGCAUUUGAAACUGUAGUUCUUGAGUGAUGGAGAGGCAGGCGGAAUUCCCGGUGUAGCGGUGGAAUGCGUAGAUAUCGGGAGGAACACCAGUGGCGAAGGCGGCCUGCUGGACAUUAACUGACGCUGAGGCGCGAAAGCGUGGGGAGCAAACAGG